rnacentral:rRNA from 1 species
GUCCACGCUGUAAACGAUGGGUACUAGGUGUUCGGGUAUUGACCCCUGAGUGCCGCCGCUAACGCAUUAAGUACCCCGCCUGGGGACUACGGCCGCAAGGUUAAAACUCAAAGGAAUUGACGGGGCCCGCACAAGCGGUGGAGCAUGCUGUUCAAUUCGACGCAACGCGAACAACCUUACCUGGGCUAGACAACGGUGGACCGCCCGAGAGAUCGGGUCUUCCCUUCGGGGACUGCCGGUUCAGGUGCUGCAUGGCUGUCGU